AGAUGGUGGUCACCAAUUAUUGCAAGUUGUGCUUUACAUUUUACUGCUGACUGUUCAGAGUGAGCUCUGAUCCUGCUUACUAAUAGUUACUAUUUUGCUAUCUGCCAUCCCGCCCUGGUUCUUUCUAUUCAAAGUGAGGUACCCAGCUGAAUUAAGUUGUAGAGGAAUAGGCCUGUAUAGAAACACAAUAGUGCGUAUGUAUGUCUUUUUUCUUGAAGGGAGCUCUAAGAUAAUACCCCAAUAAAGUGGCUUACUGCUUUGUGCCUGCAAGAUGGUUCAGUGAGUGAGUAAAGACCUGCCAUCAAUCCCGACAAAGUGAGUUCUAUUCCUGGACCAAUUUCCACAUGUGCGUUGUGCCCUGCACCCAAUAAAAUUAAUACACACACACACACACACACACACACACACACACAAGAAAAAAGAUGUAACACUUAAAAUACCUAUUUAGUAAUAGUUGUUUUUAGGUAGGAAUGGCUGAUGUCUCCACUGCUGUCAAAACCCAUUGUCAUGGUCCUUUCUCUAGGAUUCUGGGCACUGCAUACAUGUGUCAACAUACUUUAUAGCAAGAGUUAGAAAUGCAAAUGGCCUGUGAGGGCCACAGUGAUAAUGUAAUCCACGAAAACAGAUCGGGUUAUGGAAGCAAGCUUGGGACACCCUGUCUCUGAGGAAACUCCUUCUAUUGACUCAGAUAUCAGAAGUCAGACAUUCUAAAUUCUUUUCUUUUUUAAAUCAGGUUUAAAUGUUGUCUAUCUUUCCAAAAUUAGGGCCAUAUGUUAUCAGGUAGAUUGAGUAUAUGUGAAGAGUGGCCUGAGCUUCUGCACCUUGGCUUCCAAUACCGCCUGAAUGGUGUGCAGGGUGCACACCUGGGAUGCAGGCCAGCAUCUGCAGCGUCUGUCUGGGCCAUGUUAGCCCUUCUCUGUCGCCAGCGCAGCACUGAGCUCUUACCUACUGUGAAAGUGAUAAUAGCUUUGCUUUGUUAGUGUCAGUAACUGCACCUGGCAUUUUCUUUCUUAAACCUAUUCUUGUGAACAGGGUGUUAAAAAUCUAUUUGUAAAAAAGGAUAAAAAAUGUGGUUAUUAAAGAUCAGGUGGAUGGGUGAGGGAGAUGGCACAGACCAUAAAGGGCUUUCAAGGUAAAAGGACCUGGGUUUGAUCCCCAGAACCUACACAGAGAAAAGCUUGGCGGGGGCAGAUGCCUGUAAUCCCAGUGUGGGGAUCAGAGACAAGCAGAUCCUGGGACUCAUGUGAUCCCGGUUAGCUUACUUGGCAAGGUUCAGGCCAACAAGGAACCCAGUCUGAGAAAACAGAGUGGAUGGUGCCUCAGGAAUGAUACCUAAAGUUUCCUCUGGCCUCCACACCUACUUGUGUGUGUGCUUGUUUGUGUGCUUGUGUGUGUUCUUGUGUACUUGCACACACUCACACAUGCACACACUCACAUAUGGUAUGAUGGGUGCAAUGGGUGGAUAAACUGCUUUUUGGACUAUCAACUGUGUGUUCUACUGUCAUUGACUGGGAGGUGCCACAUCUUGGCAUUCUCUAGAAUGGCUUUGUGUUAAUUUACCAAGUGUAAUGUUAAAUGAGACAUUCAGGCCAAGGUCACUGUUACCGUGAAUUAUUAGACCAUUCUCAGGAAACGACAAAAGUACAAAUAGUGGCAGGCUUAGAUUGUUAUCUUUUCCAAUUAUUAACUAAAUUUAAAAAGAAAUGAUCCAAGUAAAUCACUCAUGGAUGAAAUGGAGAUAGUGCUGAAGUUACACACAGAAGGAAGCAUUGGUCUCCUGUCCUGUGUUUCCCCCUCUUACUCCUGUUUUCUGAGGAAACCAUUACAGUUUUAAGAAAUGGUUUCAGUUUAGUUCUUCUGAGGAUUCCCAUUUCUCUCAGUACUACUCUGCCUGUUUCCUGACUGGCUAGUUGUAGAUGUUAUCUUUUGACUUCCUGACCUGCUAGAGGCAUCAGCCUAUUUUCACUGUCCCCUUACCUCUCUCUUCCUCUUUAAUAAAAGCACAUCGCUGCUAUUGGUUCUCGAGUUCUUUACCUUGUAGCUAAAACCUUUGUUCUUUUUUUCUUGUGGGGAUCAAAUUUCAGGGCCUUACAAAGGUUAGAGACAAACUUUUCCAAAAAGCAAAUCCAUGGCACCCCCUCCAUACUCCCCUCCAGGGUCCCUUUAAACACUGAUCAUACAAUUCAAUGAACAGUCCCCUAGGGUUCUUGAUAAGUGCAUGACUCAGCUGUGUUAUCAGCUCUGACGAUCUCUGUGCAGUGGUGAUGGACGUCUCAUCUCUCUGGAGUCCCAUGACCCACAGAUAAUGUCUUUUGGCUUCACACUUCAUGGGGUAAGCGCAGCCUCUGCUUCUUUCUUCUCUUGCUUUUUCCUGCACCGCUUUCCCACAUCUUCUGUUUUCCCCUUUGCAUUCUCAAGAUUAAUAAUUUGUUGUCUAUAAUAGUCUCCAGGGCAUUGUUCAUAAAUUACACAGUGGCUCGAUAGGCCUGCUUCUGCAUUAAUUAUCAUUAUAUUUUACUUCGUUUUGUGGGCCUAAAUAGUAACAAUUCUACGCACUACACUGGACGAUUUCUUAGGAAACAGGCCACUUGCUUAGGUUAUUGGAAUCCAGGCUCAAAUAACCUGCCCAGAUUUUGUUCCUCUCUCUUCUGCUUCUGCCUUUCCUAUAUCUCUGCCCCACAUUUCUUUAUUACCUCCAUUAUGAUUAGGUAUCUUACUUAAGAUCUCUUUCUUCCUCUCUGUUCCUCUUCAGAUGUCUUGUUCUUACUUUAUGACUGCAGUAUCUGUUAGUCUUUCAAAUAACAAAAAUUAAAGGUUCAGCAGUUAAAUGUGUUUGCUGACAAGCCUAACGACCUGAGUUCAAUCCCUGGCAUCUACCUGGUAGAAGGAGAGAACUGUUCUAGUUUCCUUUCCAGUGCUGUGAUAAAGCACUCUGACCAUAUCCCUCCUGGAUCAGUUAAUAGUCAAAACAGUCCCCUACAGAUGUGCACUUAGGGCAGUCUGUUCUAGGCAAUUCCUCAGCCUGGGCUCCUCUCAGAUGACUCUAGAGUGGAAUUAAACCAGCCAAGGGGUUGACGAGAUGGCUCAGCAGUUAAGAACACAGACUGUUCUGUUCUUUUAGAGAACCCUGAGUUUGAUUCCUAGAACCCAUGUCAGGCAGCACACAGCUGCCUGUGAGUUCAGUUCCAUGAGAUUAGAUGCUUUCCUCUGGACUGUGAAGGCACCUGCACACACAUGUACAUAUACAUGUGUAGUUCAAUUGAAAAUAGAAAUCUUUAGAACAAUAAGAUUAAACAAAAUCCCAUCUAACCAGUUCAACAACUGAUUCUCACGGGCUGUCCUCUGACCUACAAAUGCAUGCCACGUAUACGCACCAUCACAGAGAUAGAUAAAUAUAAUAAUUGUAAAAUUUUAAAAAUGUUUUCUUUUUUAACCAUUAUUUUAAUAUUCACAUGGAACAUCAUAUUUUAUAGCAUAAUUUCUCUUCCGGUUAUUCUAUAAAGCUGUGACCCUUUAAUACAGCUCCUCAUGUUGUGGUGACCCCCAGCCAUAAAAUCAUUUUCUUGCUACUUUAUUUAUUUCAUGUAUGUGCAUACACUGUCACUGACUUCAGACACAUCAGAAAGGGACAUCGGAUCCCAUUACAGAUGGUUGUGAGCCACCAUGUGGUUGCUGGGAUUUGAACUCAGGACCUCUAGAGGAGCAGGCAGUGCUCUUAACCACUGAGCCAUCUCUCCAGCCCUUCUUGCUACUUUAUAACCGUAACUUUGCUACGUUAUGAAUCAUAAUAUAAAUGUCUAUGUUUUCUGAUGGCCUUAAGUAAACCCUAUGAAAGGAUUGUUUGUCUUUCAAAAGGUCGAGACCAACAGGUAGAGAAUUGCUGAUCUAUAAGCUUCCCUCAAAUAAAAGCCAUCAUGCACAUAAGAUAGUAAUAAGAUACUGUGUAGAGCUCCCAGGUAGUUGAGCAUGCUCUUAGUGUGGGGGACUCUUGACUGUCCUAUUCUUUUUUUUUUUUUUUUUUGUGGUUCUUUUUUUUUCGGAGCUGGGGACCGAACCCAGGGCCUUGCGCUUCCUAGGCAAGGGCUCUACCACUGAGCUAAAUCCCCAGCCCCGACUGUCCUAUUCUGAAGUUCAGCGGUCAUCAAAAUAGAUCUUAUCCUUUUUCAAAAGUGAACUUCCUGUAUUUCCCCCUGGAGUACACUUGGCCAUUGCCGGGCAGGGAGGUGUGUGCACUCUUUCCUGAAGAACGUUUAAUUAAUCUCCCUGCUCAUAGCCUUAUGUCUCCUCCUCUCCUCUGCUUACCGGGUAAGUGGUAGGAUGACCAAUGGCUUCUCUGUGUUCAGCUGUGUCCUCCUCAUAUUCCUGUGAGAGACACAGAGCACCCUGCCCUGCCAAGCACCAGUUCCUGGCUGCAUUUUGUCUUCUAGACAUUUGCUGAGGUUUCCCCUGUGUAGAUUGCUAUUUCUUAACCUUCAUCUCCGUUCUUCCUCUUUUAUAUUUUUACAGACUUCUUUUAACUUUCAUAGUAGAGGGGUGGUUAGAAGGAAGAAUUAGCCUCCGGUUUUUUUUUGGUGUGCUAAUUUAUGUUAUACUAUGUUUUAUUUGCUGAUAUCCUGUAUUUUCUCAUCACUAUAAAAUUUUCACAUGAAACCUGUUAUUCAUUGUAUAUUAGGCGUAUUCUAUCAAACUAUUGUUUGAUAUCAUAUACUAAGCACUAAAGACUUAUUUAGCCUACUCUAUGCUCUGUAAUGAAAGGUGACUAAUAGAUGUCUUUUUUUUUUUUUUUGAGACAGGCUUCUCUGUGUAGCCCUGGCUGUCCUGGAACCCACUCUGUGGACCAGGCCAGGCUUGAAUUCACAGAGAUCCAACUCUGCCUUUCCACUUCUGGGAUUAAAGGUGUGCACCACCCUACUUAGCAUCUUUAUUUUAACUGCUUAGGUCAUUCUUUCUUUCUUUUUCUUCUUACUUAUGUCAGGCUGGUGGGUUUUUGAGAGAAGGUCUCUCACAGGUUCGCCUAUGCUAUCUGCUGCUGAGUCUAUGAUCUGUCCCCUCUGCCCAGCUGUGAGAUUAGAGAUGUGCACUGUUGUACCUGGCUUUUUAAUGUGCAUCCUGGUGGUUCAAACUCAAUCCUCAUGCUUGAGUGGCAGUCAGUUUAUUGAGUGAGACAUUUUCCAAGCUCCUCCUUUCUGAAAUUCUGGACUUUCUGUAGAGAACCUUCUGAAAGAUGUUGGCGAUGUUCUUAGGUUUAGUGUUAGAUCCAGGGGUUGGCAGUAGGUACAGAGCUAGGAGAUUUACUCGAGAAGAUGGUAUCAUGAGUAAGUUCCUUCCAGACUUUUAGAAAGGUGUGGGGUUUAAGUGCCAUUUACCUGUUGCCUUAAAAACCUGUUCUUAUUCUCAGAUUUGCACCCUGUUGGGUAGCCUUUUGCUAUACAAACACCUCUAUACAUUUAGGGAUGGAAACUUUUGUUCUUGUUUUUAUUUUAUUUAUUUUUUGAGCACUCUCUCUAGCUCUGGAAAUUUAUUUUUUUAAAGACCUGUUGAAAAUCAAUAGACUUAUCAAAAUAAAUGAAAUCAACUAUAUAAAUUCCGGUGGGCAAGUCUUAAUUUAGAAACUCAGAACCAGUAUGUCCUUUGCACAUGCAGUUAAAGCUCAGGUAAAAAUGGGUUUGUGCUUGUCACCAAGUGCCGUGUCCCCACCUGCAAACACACAUUUGUUUUUGUCAGCAUUUCCAAGGACAAGCCUGUUUUGCUUUGUGUGAUAUUUAGGCCAUGGCCAUUAAGCUUCCCUUCUUGGAAACUUAACUGAAAAUUAUUUCCAAAUUAAUUCUGUUCAUAAUAUUUUAAAAACUUAGAAUUACCCCCCCUCUGUGUGUGUGUGUGUGUGUGUGUGUGUGUGUGUGUGUGCUCACGUAUGCGCACGUGCUUUCUUAGAGUGCAACAAGAGUUGUCGUUUCCUUCUAUCAUAAGGGUCUUGAGGACUGAACUUAGGAGGUCAAGCUCAGCGGCAAGCACCUUCACCCAGUAAGCUUUCUUGCCAACCCGUCUCAGAAACCCUUCUAGGAGGUCUGAGGCAUGCUCAGCUGACUGUGGUAUUCGUGUGGGACAAUUAGAUCUUGCAUCUACAUCAAUGCUUACUGCAGUUCAACAUCAAUGCUUACUGCAGUUCAACAUCAAUGCUUACUGCAGUUCAACAUCAAUGCUUACUGCAGUUCAACAUCAAUGCUUACUGCAGUUCAACAUCAAUGCUUACUGCAGUUCUACAUCAAUGCUUACUGCAGUUCUACAUCAAUGCUUACUGCAGUUCAACAUCAAUGCUUACUGCAGUUCUACAUCAAUGCUUACUGCAGUUCAACAUCAAUGCUUACUGCAGUUCAACAUCAAUGCUUACUGCAGUUCAACAUCAAUGCUUACUGCAGUUCAACAUCAAUGCUUACUGCAGUUCAACAUCAAUGCUUACUGCAGUUCAACAUCAAUGCUUACUGCAGUUCAACAUCAAUGCUUACUGCAGUUCAACAUCAAUGCUUACUGCAGUUCAACAUCAAUGCUUACUGCAGUUCAACAUCAAUGCUUACUGCAGUUCAACAUCAAUGCUUACUGCAGUUCAACAUCAAUGCUUACUGCAGUUCAACAUCAAUGCUUACUGCAGUUCAACAUCAAUGCUUACUGCAGUUCAACAUCAAUGCUUACUGCAGUUCUACAUCAAUGCUUACUGCAGUUCAACAUCAAUGCUUACUGCAGUUCAACAUCAAUGCUUACUGCAGUUCAACAUCAAUGCUUACUGCAGUUCUACAUCAAUGCUUACUGCAGUUCAACAUCAAUGCUUACUGCAGUUCAACAUCAAUGCUUACUGCAGUUCAACAUCAAUGCUUACUGCAGUUCAACAUCAAUGCUUACUGCAGUUCAACAUCAAUGCUUACUGCAGUUCUACAUCAAUGCUUACUGCAGUUCAACAUCAAUGCUUACUGCAGUUCUACAUCAAUGCUUACUGCAGUUCAACAUCAAUGCUUACUGCAGUUCUACAUCAAUGCUUACUGCAGUUCAACAUCAAUGCUUACUGCAGUUCAACAUCAAUGCUUACUGCAGUUCAACAUCAAUGCUUACUGCAGUUCAACAUCAAUGCUUACUGCAGUUCAACAUCAAUGCUUACUGCAGUUCUACAUCAAUGCUUACUGCAGUUCUACAUCAAUGCUUACUGCAGUUCUACAUCAAUGCUUACUGCAGUUACUUCCUUUCGAUCUCCUGAAAGCCAUGGAAGUAGCUUGACUAUGUCCAGAUUUCCCACGAUUGUAGCCAUGGAUUUCUUUAGAAAUCGAAGUUUAGAAUCGAAUUUUCCUUCUUGGAGUAAGAUAGGGUUUGCAACCCCAUAGGAAGAACAACCAACCAGACCCCCCAGAGCUCCCAGGGACUAGACUACCAACCAAAGACUACACAUGGAGGGACCCAUGGCUUCAGCCACAUAUGUCGCAGAGGAUGACAUUGUCUGGCAUCAGUGGGAGGAGAAGCCCUCGGUCCUGUGAAGGCUCGUUUCCCCAGCGUAGGGGAAUGUUGGGGUGGGAGUGGGAGCAUCCUCAUGGAAGCAGGGGGAGGGAAGGGGUUAUGGGAGAGGGGGAAAGGCGUUAAUAUUUGAAAUGUAAAUACGGGGCUGGGGAUUUAGCUCAGCAGUAGAGCGCUUGCCUGGCGAGCACAAGGCCCUAGGUUCGGUCCCCAGCUCCGAAAAAAAAAAGAAAAGGAAAAAAAAAAUGUAAAUACAUAAAAUAUCCAGUAAAAAUAAAUUAAUUAAUUAAAAAAAUAAGAUUUUGCAGGCCCAUCUUUCUCUCUCUUUUCUGUCUUCCCUCUCCCUUACUUCUUCUUUAGUCUUUCUCAUAAUUUCUCUUUUGUUUCUUUUCGAGACAAGUUCUUAUCCUAUAGCCCACACUGUGCUGGAGCUCACUGUGUCGUGCAGGUUGGUCUCAGGCCUUCAGUGGUCCUCCUACCCCAGCCUACUGAGUGCUAGAAUUGCAGGUGUGAGCCACCCAACUUAGCUUCUUUUAGAACUUUUAAGUCAUCCUUUUUGUUUGUUUAACAUCUUUUGUAAGGAUGAAGAUAGCAUGUGUUCCUACUUGAACGCAUUUUGUAGCUAUAUUUAUUAUAGCUAAGAAAUGUAUUGCCAGAAGUUUCUUAUUACAGGAUUUGUCAUUAAAUUUUACCUUCUACAGCCUAUAUAAUGAUUGUCACUAGAUGAUCAAAUACUAUUCUAAUCAACAAACUCUUUAAUAAGUUUAGUUUGCUCAAAUAAAUAUAAAUGUCUGUGAGUUUCUAUGGUUCUACAAGUCUUUGGAAAGUAGUUAUGAUAGCAAACACAGAAGCUUUCUGUGUUGUUUUAAAACAAUAAUUUACAUGUAUGAGAGUUUUUUUUGCAUGUAUGUCUAUGGGCUGCUUGCAUGCUUGGUACUUAACCGUGGCCAGAAGUGGGCACUGGAUCCCACAGCACUGGAGCUACAGAUGGUACUGAGAAUCAAACAUGGGCCUUCUGGAAGAGCAGCUAAAUUCUCUCUCUCUCUCUUUCUCUUUCUCUCUCUCUCUCUCUCUCUCUCUCUCUCUCUCCCUCCCUCCCUCCCUCCCUCCCUCCCUCCCUCCCUUUCUCCCUCUCUCCCUCUCUCCCUCUCUCAUUCUUCUCUUACAUAUUACAUCCGGCCAGAGUUUUUCUUCUUUCUCUCCCCUUCCCCAGUCUCUCCCUCCACCUUCCCCCUCUCCCCUAGAUCCACUCAGCCUCCCUCAGAAAAGAGCUUGCCUCUUAGGGACACCAACCAGGUAGAGUAAGACCAGGCAUGAACCGUCACAUCAAGGCUGGAUCAGGAGGCACAGUAGGGGUAUGGGGGGAGGGAGGGUCCCACAAGUAGGUGGAGGAGUCGGACAGCAUCCUCUCCCACUGUUAGGAUUCCCACAAGAACACCAAGCUAUUCAGCCAUAGCAUCAAGCCAGACCCCUACAGGCUUGAUCACUUGGCCCUGGUUACUUGGUUCUGUGGGCCGAGUUCUCAUAGUAUCUAUGAUCCCUGUUUCUUCCAGUCCUUUAGGCUUCUCUGCAGGACUCCUGGAGCUCCCUGUAAGUCUUGUCUGUGGGAUUCUGUUUCCAUUAGUUGCUGGAUGAAGUCUCUUUGGUCUCGUCAAUGACAAUUCUCUUAGGCUUCAAUCCCAAAAUACUCCAGAUAGGACAAACUGUAGGUAGAAGGUUUGGUGGCUGGGUUGGUGUCCCAAACCCUUCACUUUAGAAUAGCCAGUCUCUUUAUCAGUGAGCAGCCUUCCUAGCCUGAGGCUCGUUGGCCUUAGCCAAGGCUAAGCCAGAGUAUUUGGAGUUUACAGUAAUUCAUUUUAUAAGUUAUCCUCAGUGAACAGGCCUGCUUUGUUUAUUAAGUUGUACCUUCAGCUCCUAGCAGCGUAGAGGUAGAUGCUCGAUUAAUACCCAUGGAAGCAGUGGAUGGCGGGCAUGAUGGGUGCAUGAGUUCUUGAGUUGCAAUGUUCAGAUCUGUGCCAGCUACAGGAUUAGAGGGAAUGUGGUAUUCUGUCCCCGUAUCUGCCUUGUUACCAGCAGACACUCGGUCUUCACGAGUUAUUUAUUAUACAAGGAAUUAUUAAUUGGAGCACUGCCCCUAACAGUUCAGAAAAACAGGAAGGCAUGCACUGUACUGUGCAGAUUGGGAGCCUGAACCUAUUUCACAUUUAUUUAUUUUAUUCUGCCCUCUGGAGUCAGAAUAAUGAAAAUAGGAUGCAACUUAAUUUGCAUAUUAGAAAGCAGCCCUUACAGAAAAAUCUGUUUCACCUGUAAACAAAGGGAACUUCGGGCAGCGGCUGAUAGAGUGGAAGGCAAAGGAGAGGAUGUGCUUCUGUCGGUGCAGUGGUGAGCAGAUUCCUGAGAAGGAUGCCAGGAUGUUACAGUAUACUGGGAAUGAUGUUACUGUUUCUGCAGUUCCUUAACGUGAAGAAACACCUGCUGGCUACUGAAAGAGUUGCCAAUUUGUGUAAGAAAUUAUUGAAAGUUGUCCAAGGAUGAGAUAUUAAUUAAAGAGAAACCCUUGAAUUUGACAGCUGUAGAAGACACAAAUCAUCCUUGAACUGGAAUAGAAAUGUGCUUCUUCAGGGAUCAGGAGGAACUGAAUGAAGUGCAUAUUGGAGUCCUAACCUCCCACUGCAGUGGCAGGAGUUUCUGAGCUGUAGUAAAGUUCAUGGUGGGCUAGGGAUUUGUUAUAGACAUGGUUAGUAAACAGACACGACAGUCAGUUUGCAUAGCAUUUAAUUCUAAAGUAAUUAUCUGAUUAUUUCAGGGAGGGUUGGGUGGGGGAGACAGAAAAGAAGAUAGAGAGGAAGACAAUGAGAAUGUGUGUACCCACUCUGUUCAGACAGAGCAGGGAGCGUGCUCUGCUCACGCACUAUUUCCAGUCUCUAGUCUGUGCCUGACAUUUAGAGAAGCUUAGUAAGUGUUUGUGGAAUGAACCAAGGAUAUUCUUUCUCUGGAUCUAGUAAUGAUGGGGUUUGAUGAGCAAGUGACAGAUCUUAAUUCUGAAGGCUCUUUGAAUCAUAUUGUUUAUGCCACUAGGAAGAGACAUCAUUACUGAAAUAUUAUAGGUUAUAUUGAGCAAGUCUGUGGCUAGCGAAUCAGUUUCAAAUUUGAAAUUAUCUUUUGUUUGAAAUUUUUUGUUUCAUACCAACAAUUUAUGUUAAUCAGGGACUGUUUGGUUAUAAGAAAUCCAUUGGAACCAAAAUAAACCAAAGGAUUUAUUUAUUUGUCUUUAUAAAGAAUCAAGUGAAUUUUAUGGUUUUCAAGGGCAGGGGAGAGCAAGGCUUCACUGGGACUGGAACCAGGAACUGGCAUGCUGGCAGACAUGACAGUAGCUGCUUGUCAUCUGAGUUCUUGUAUUUUGGCACUUUAUUAACUUGAUUCUUUUCCCCAGAUUUCUCUAAACAUUGGAUAGAAAUGACUUCAUUCUUACAGGGGACAUAAUUUUCAAUGCUCAGUACCCAGAGCUGCCUCCUGAUUUCAUCUUUGGAGAGGAUGCCGAGUUCCUGCCAGACCCCUCUGCUCUGCACAACCUUGCCUCCUGGAACCCUUCGAACCCCGAGUGCCUGCU